rnacentral:rRNA from 1 species
GACGAACGCUGGCGGUGUGCUUAACACAUGCAAGUCGAACGGUAAGGCCCUGUCGGGGGUACACGAGUGGCGGACGGGCGGGUGACACGCAAGUAACCUACCCGCCUCUCUGGUAUAACAGACGGAAAGGGUUGGUAGUUCUGGCCAUGUACUUGCUCGGCAUCCAGUGUGUGGGUAGGAUUUUUUUGGUUGGGGGUGGACGUGCCGCCUCUCAGCUUGUUGGUGGGGGAGUGGCUUACCAACGCGUCGGCGGGUGGCCGGCCUGAGAGGGGGGACGGCCACAAUGGGAAUGGGAUUAGGCCCAAGCCCCUACGGGGGGGAGCAGGGGGGAAUAUUGGACAAUGGACGGGAGGCUGAUGCAGGAACGCCGCGGGCGGGAUGAAGGGCUUCGGGUUGGAAACCGCUUUCAACUGGGGAGAAGCUUUUUGUGACGGUAGCAGGAGAAGAAGCACCGGCUAACUACGUG